GUUGCACCUGUUGAGGCGCGACAGCUUGCACUUUUUUAUUGCUCUCUGCCAAGGAGGUUUUUGGUGUGGAUUUAACCUACAUAACAUUUUACGUCAGUGGAAACCUGCUGACCCCUGAAGUGUGAAGAAACGGGUUUCCAUUUCUUAUCUCUCUGGGCGUUCAAAGAGGCUGUUGAUGCUGUGGAUUUUAUGUCACACAAGUGUGCAGACAGGCGUCUUUUGCUGUGGCAAUCAGACUUCAGUGCUUGUGACGCUGGAAUGCUCUUAUCUGAUGAAUCUAUUUGUCAUUUUGCUGUUGUACUUUUGCUUAUCUGACACCUGAAUAAGACAAAAUCUGC